UACGUAGGGACCAAGCGUUGUUCGGAUUUACUGGGCGUAAAGGGCGCGUAGGCGGCGCGGUAAGUCACUUGUGAAAUCUCCGGGCUUAACUCGGAGCGGCCAAGUGAUACUGUCGUGCUAGAGUGCGGAAGGGGCUACUGGAAUUCUCGGUGUAGCGGUGAAAUGCGUAGAUAUCGAGAGGAACACCAGUGGCGAAGGCGACUACCUGGCCUGUUCUUGACGCUGAGGCGCGAAAGCUAGGGGAGCAAACGGG
rnacentral:rRNA from 1 species